AUUGAACGCUGGCGGCAGGCCUAACACAUGCAAGUCGAACGAGUGGCGGACGGGUGAGUAAUGUCUGGGAAACUGCAUGAUGGAGGAGGAUACUACCUGGAAACGGUACCUACUACCUCUUACCAUCGGUGAGCCCCAAUUGGGAUUAGCUAGUUGGUGGGGUAACGGCUCACCAAGGAGACGAUCCCUAGCUGGUCUGAGAGGAUGACCAGCCACACUGGAACUGAGACACGGUCCAGACGCCUACGGGAGGCAGCAGUGGGGAAUAUUGCACAAUGGGCGCAAGCCUGAUGCAGCCAUGCCGCGUGUAUGAAGAAGGCCUUCGGGUUGUAAAGUACUUUCAGCGGGGAGGCGUUACCCGCAGAAGAAGCACCGGCUAACUCCGUGCCAGCAGCCGCGGUAAUUC
rnacentral:rRNA from 1 species